CAAUAUUUGAUUCAUAACUUCCUCAGUGGGGUGUGAUAACAUCACGUGUCGUGAGAGUCUCCUUAACCCCGGCUGAGUUGAGAUGGAAGUGAGUCGGAGUAAGUUCUGAGCUAUUCUUGAUUUCCUUACUUCGUUAAACUAAACAUUGAUAAAUCCUAAAAUAUCCUGUUGUAGUGCCUGUUGACACUCACCUGUGCUUUCCUGUUUAUUCCAAUAACUGUAGUAGCCAGGUUGAUUACAUCAUUAAAAUACACAUUCAGAAAUAUAUUUAUAGAUUUCUUAAUUCCUUUCUUUUACUUUUAGAUUUGUGUGUAUUGUUGUGAAUUGUUAGAUAUUAAUGCACUGUUGGAGUUAGGAACACCUGCAAUAACAUCUGCCUGAUAUAGAUACCACACCCCCUUGGGCCUGAUUGCUUCAAUAACCCAUGAAACAUAAAACUGCUGUAUAGAUUCUGGUCUUAACGAGUAAUGAUCACAUGAUAAUGGGUAGUUGUUUGGAAUUGACAGUGAUUAGUAGAUACUGUCUCUAUGUACCAGUGAUUAGUAGAUAGUAUCUCUAUGUACCAGUUAUUAGUAGUUAGUGUGUCUAUGUACCGGUGAUUAGUAGAUAGUGUCUCUAUGUACCAGUGAUUAGUAGAUAGUAUCUCUAUGUACCAGUGAUUAGUAGAUAGUGUGUCUAUGUACCAGUGAUUAGUAGAUGGUGUAUCUAUGUACCAGUGAUUAGAAGAUGGUGUAUCUAUAUACCAGUGAUUAGUAAAUAGUGUCUCUAUGUACCAGUGCCUUGCUCAGGUCUGACUCCAAUGUGGAGAAUGUUACAUAACAGAACAAAGUCCAAUGACUACAUUUCCCACCUCAUCAGCCAGUCUCUCUAGGGAGAAGCCAGAGGAGUAUCAGCGAAGGAUCAUGGGAGAUAGAGUCCAAAUCGAGGCAUGCUACAGAAAUGAACUGGUCAGAGCUGCACAGAGCACUGCUGUUUUCCAGAAACCUACAGUGGUGCGGACCAAUGAGGUGGAGGAGAGGGAGCGCUACAGAUACCAGUGGAGGAAGGAGGACAGGCAGAGAAUCGUCGGUGACAGAUUGGAGCUCUUCGUCGCCAUAGGGACGGGGUUGUUGAUGGGGGUUCUGACAGGUGGUUUUGGAGGUGUUGUCAUGGGAGGGUUGACAGGGGCAGUGAUAUGGUUUACAACAGGACUGGUUAGGAACUGGUGGAGCCCCUGAUUCACUGGGAGACACCAUGUGUAGGCUAUGGAUCUACUUUUAUAAAGACAUUUGGAGGAUAAAACAAUUUGAACAUGUAUAGAUAGAAGGGCUUAAGUCUUGGUCUUGUUUCUUGAUGCAUUUAUCCAACUUUAAUUAUGAAUAAUUUGGAACUGAAUAAAAGCCCAAUAAAGAGAUAAGAAACAGAGAAUAUAUUGAUUAUUUUUAAAGAGAGAUGAAACCCUCAUAUUCAUCACCAGUGUUAACCUACAGUACUUCUGUGAAGUCAGUCCUGAUAUGGGUCUGAACCUGUUACUCAUGAACAAAUUAAAACAGAGAUUCUUCCAGAAAUAUCGUUCCCUGAUUUCAUCUGACCAAGUAUUCAGAUAUUGUGUGACAGUAGUUAUGGCCAGGCCAAUGAAAGACCUUCAUCCUACCCUGUAAAAUCCUUACAAAUAACAGCAACAAGAGCUAGUGACUCGAUCACCAAAUAUACAUGAUCAAUGAAUAGUUUACGUAAACAAACAUAGGGAUCCUACUAGAACCCCGAUCCAGCGACUGUCAACCCAACACAGUUUGGCCAAGAUCACAGUCUGUAUCCAGAAAGGACCUCAGAGUAGGAGUACUGAUCUAGGAUCUGUCCAUAUAAUCAUUAUGAUCGAAACGUCAAAAACUGAUGCUAGAUCAGAACUCUUACGAGCCCUGGUCAUCAUGGAAUCAUGGAAUCAGUAAACCCUGCUCUCAGUCUGUCAUGUAAUCAGUAAACCCUGCUCUCAGUCUGUCAUGGAAUCAGUAAACCCUGCUCUCAUAUCUGUCAUGGUAUCAGUAAACCCUGCUAUCAAUUUGUCAUGGAAUCAGUAAACCCUGCUCCCAUUACUGUCAUGGAAUCAGUAAACCCUGCUCUCAUAUCUGUCAUGGAAUCAGUAAACCCUGCUAUCAAUCUGUCAUGGAAACAGUAAACCCUGCUCUCACUACUGUCAUGGAAUCAGUAAACCCUGCUCUCAAUCUGUCAUAUAGUCAGUAAACCCUGCUCUCAUUACUGUCAUGUAAUCAGUAAACCCUGCUCUCAAUCUGUCAUGGAAUCAGUAAACCCUGCUCUCAUUACUGUCAUGGAAUCAGUAAACCCUGCUCUCAUUACUGUCAUGGAAUCAGUAAACCCUGCUCUCAUUACUGUCAUGGAAUCAGUAAACCCUGCUCUCAAUCUGUCAUGGAAUCAGUAAACCCUGCUCUCAUUACUGUCAUGGCAGAAUGCUCAAAUCACCCCUACUCAUCGGCCAGUGUGGCGUGCUGAAUGCUCCGAGGGCGUAACACUCUGAAUUUAUGAAGGGACAAUCUGACAACACUCUGAGUUUAUGAAGGGACAAUCUGACAACACUGAGUUUAUGAAGGGACAAUCUGACAACGCUCUGAGUUUAUGAAGGGACAAUCUGACAACACUCUGAGUUUAGGAACACCCAGAAAACACUGGCACUCCAGAUUAAAUUUACGAACACAACCGUAGUUUAAACCAGUCUUUAGUCUUGAAAUCUUUGUUUGUUUAGUACAUGGCCUCACAAGUGAAUCCUUAAAGAGAUGGGUGGGGCUAAAGUUUAAUAGUUGUUGUUUUUUAAGUUGUAAAAUUCAAACUAGGUAAAUGAGUAGGUUCUAAUCUGUUUGGAGAAGGGGAUUGUAAAUACAAACAGAUUGUUUUAGAUGAUUUUUACUUUUGCAUGCUGGAGACAAUUGUGAAACCAGUCAUGGAAGCAAACUGAAAACUCAAGGCUACCAA
rnacentral:lncRNA from 1 species